rnacentral:rRNA from 1 species
AGAGUUUGAUCCUGGCUCAGAACGAACGCUGGCGGCGCGUCUUAAGCAUGCAAGUCGAACGGUAAGGGAGAGCUUGCUCUCCCCUAGAGUGGCGGACUGGUGAGUAACGCGUGGGUGACCUGCCCUGAAGAUGGGGAUAGCUAGUAGAAAUAUUAGAUAAUACCGAAUGUGCUCAUUUACAUAAAGGUAAAUGAGGAAAGGAGCUACGGCUCCGCUUCAGGAUGGGCCCGCGUCCCAUUAGCUGGUUGGUGAGGUAAAGGCCCACCAAGGCAACGAUGGGUAUCCGGCCUGAGAGGGUGAACGGACACAUUGGGACUGAGAUACGGCCCAAACUCCUACGGGAGGCAGCAGCUAAGAAUCUUCCGCAAUGGACGAAAGUCUGACGGAGCGACGCCGUGUGAAUGAAGAAGGCCGAAAGGUUGUAAAAUUCUUUUGCAGAUGAAGAAUAAGAAGAAGAGGGAAUGCUUCUUUGAUGACGGUAGUCAUGCGAAUAAGCCCCGGCUAAUUACGUGCCAGCAGCCGCGGUAACACGUAAGGGGCGAGCGUUGUUCGGAAUUAUUGGGCGUAAAGGGUAUGUAGGCGGUUAGGUAAGCCUGGUGUGAAAUCUACGAGCUCAACUCGUAAACUGCAUUGGGUACUGCUUGACUUGAAUCACGGAGGGGAAACCGGAAUUCCAAGUGUAGGGGUGGAAUCUGUAGAUAUUUGGAAGAACACCGGUGGCGAAGGCGGGUUUCUGGCCGAUGAUUGACGCUGAUAUACGAAGGUGCGGGGAGCAAACAGGAUUAGAUACCCUGGUAGUCCGCACAGUAAACGAUGUACACUAGGUGUCGGGGCAAGAGCUUCGGUGCCGACGCAAACGCAUUAAGUGUACCGCCUGGGAAGUAUGCCCGCAAGGGUGAAACUCAAAGGAAUUGACGGGGGCCCGCACAAGCGGUGGAGCAUGUGGUUUAA